CGUGCAGCAGUGGGGUCCCUCGGCCUGGCCUGCACCCUCUCGCAAUCUGGGAAUCCCUGGGGGAUGUCGGAGAGUCGGUUUUGGCCCGAUCCUGCAGGCCAGGCCGAGGGACUGCACUGGUGCACG
rfam:Myotis brandtii contig155920, whole genome shotgun sequence.